rnacentral:rRNA from 1 species
CCUACGGGUGGCUGCAGUGGGGAAUAUUGGACAAUGGGGGCAACCCUGAUCCAGCCAUGCCGCGUGUGUGAAGAAGGCCCUCGGGUUGUAAAGCACUUUCAGUGAGGAAGAACGCCUGGUGGUUAAUACCCAUCAGGAAAGACAUCACUCACAGAAGAAGCACCGGCUAACUCCGUGCCAGCAGCCGCGGUAAUACGGAGGGUGCGAGCGUUAAUCGGAAUUACUGGGCGUAAAGCGCGCGUAGGUGGCUUGAUAAGCCGGUUGUGAAAGCCCCGGGCUCAACCUGGGAACGGCAUCCGGAACUGUCAAGCUAGAGUGCAGGAGAGGAAGGUAGAAUUCCCGGUGUAGCGGUGAAAUGCGUAGAGAUCGGGAGGAAUACCAGUGGCGAAGGCGGCCUUCUGGACUGACACUGACACUGAGGUGCGAAAGCGUGGUAGCAAACAGGAUUAGAUACCCCAGUAGUC